AAACACUAAAAUUUACCGAUUUCAUUAACAGGGCGGACACUACCAGGCCACCUUUUCCGACCUUUGGUUGGUAGUGUUGUGCCCAACCCUUGCUGGAGACCCAGAAGUAAGGGCCACUAUUGACUUAAGCAAUGUUACCCAGGAUCGCAUACAAGCUGCUGUAGCAGAGGCUGAGGCGAGACUGGCCCUUACAACCGAAUCAAUAGACAGACAAAAUAGACGUGACCAGCAAGACAGAGAGUACGAAGAAGGGUUAAGAAGGGAUCAAGAGAGGG